UACGUAGGGAGCAAGCGUUGUCCGGAUUUACUGGGUGUAAAGGGUGCGUAGGCGGCACUGCAAGUCAGGCGUGAAAGCCGGAGGCUUAACCUCCGAACUGCGUUUGAAACUGUGGUGCUUGAGUGAAGUAGAGGUAGGCGGAAUUCCCGGUGUAGCGGUGAAAUGCGUAGAGAUCGGGAGGAACACCAGUGGCGAAGGCGGCCUACUGGGCUUUAACUGACGCUGAGGCACGAAAGCAUGGGUAGCAAACAGGAUUAGAUACCCUGGUAGUCCAUGCCGUAAACGAUGAUUACUAGGUGUGGGGGGUCUGACCCCUUCCGUGCCGGAGUUAACACAAUAAGUAAUCCACCUGGGGAGUACGGCCGCAAGGUUGAA
rnacentral:rRNA from 1 species